rnacentral:tRNA from 2 species
AUUUAAGUAGUUUAAAGAAAAUAUUAUUUUGUGGAAAUAAUGAUAUACUAAUUUAGUAUCUUAGAUU